UACGAAGGGUGCAAGCGUUACUCGGAAUUACUGGGCGUAAAGCGUGCGUAGGUGGUUUGUUAAGUCUGAUGUGAAAGCCCUGGGCUCAACCUGGGAAUUGCAUUGGAUACUGGCAGGCUAGAGUUUGGCAGAGGGGGGUGGAAUUCCACGUGUAGCAGUGAAAUGCGUAGAGAUGUGGAGGAACACCGAUGGCGAAGGCAGCCCCCUGGGCCAAAACUGACGCUCAGGCACGAAAGCGUGGGGAGCAAACAGG
rnacentral:rRNA from 1 species